rnacentral:misc_RNA from 1 species
UUUCCGUAGGUGAACCUGCGGAAGGAUCAUUAUUGAAUAACCGAGGGGCGAGGGCUGGCGCUGACCCGUGAGGUUGUGCACGCCCGAUUGCCCUCCCACACAUCCAUCGAACCCCUAUGUGAGCCACCGCGUGCGUCCCGCUUUGGUCUGUUCGGAGGGGGGCUAACGUUUUGACACAAUCUUAGUUUUCAGCGCAGAAUGUCUUUUUUGUUUUUGCGAUCACGAAAGCAAUACAACUUUCAACAACGGAUCUAAUGGCUCUCGCACCGAAGAAGAACC